CCUACGGGAGGCAGCAGUGGGGAAUAUUGGACAAUGGGGGGAACCCUGAUCCAGCCAUGCCGCGUGUGUGAAGAAGGCCCUCGGGUUGUAAAGCACUUUCAGUGAGGAAGAACGCCUGGUGGUUAAUACCCAUCAGGAAAGACAUCACUCACAGAAGAAGCACCGGCUAACUCCGUGCCAGCAGCCGCGGUAAUACGGAGGGUGCGAGCGUUAAUCGGAAUUACUGGGCGUAAAGCGCGCGUAGGUGGCUUGAUAAGCCGGUUGUGAAAGCCCCGGGCUCAACCUGGGAACGGCAUCCGGAACUGUCGAGCUAGAGUGCAGGAGAGGAAGGUAGAAUUCCCGGUGUAGCGGUGAAAUGCGUAGAGAUCGGGAGGAAUACCAGUGGCGAAGGCGGCCUUCUGGACUGACACUGACACUGAGGUGCGAAAGCGUGGGUAGCAAACAGGAUUAGAUACCCCGGUAGUC
rnacentral:rRNA from 1 species